rnacentral:lncRNA from 1 species
AUGCACUGGAUUAACAAUUCCCAGGGCAAAAGCCUCUCUUUCUCUGGAAGUUGCCCUAACUGCAGCACCAAGGGUUUCACCACUGAUGCACAAACUUUUGGUGGAAAUCUUCUCCAUCCUCCCAGCUGGGGGCCAGCCCAGCCCCCAGUGCCUUCCACUGCUCCCGGCACAACCGGCGCGCUUUGCUUGCGCGCUGAAGAGCUUAACGAGGGUGUUUCUUCUAUCUUAACUAAUUUACUCUCAUAUACAUCGAGGUCAGCUAGGGUGCAGGGCACUGGAACCGGGGUGAGAAAAGCUCUUGACAAGAGCAAGCUUGCUCUGCUUUCCGUCAAGCGCCAGCCCCGCCGCCUGCAGCGUUUCCCUUUGGUGCCGGGGCCGCGGCACCUCCCUGCAGCCCCGUGGCUCCGAGUGGCUGCACGAGCACCCAGAGCGGGGCGGAGGAGCUGUGACAGCAGCACGGCUGGAAGCGGGAUGCCAAAGAGGAGGAUCCGUCCGUCUGUCCAUGCUGGGGGCUCACCAGGUUUCACGCAGAAGAGCAGAGAUGCUGCCGAUGCUUGCAGGACCCGGAUUUGGGGGCACAAAGAGGGUGAAGGGUGUUUGCAGCCUGCUUGGUGCUGUGGCUCGGUGCCACGUUCGUGCAGCUUGAGGUCCCUGCUUGCUUUUUGGGGCUGCAGGCAGCCACGGGACCAGCAGCACCGCCUGGAGCUGGGGGAAAAAAUAAUAAUCAAAUGGUUUUUUACAGGGCAGCUGCUUGCGGCAGCUUGUUGUGGGAAAAGCAGAUCCAGGUGCUGCAUUCAACCAAGCAUGAAAAUAGCGAAGGUGAAGGACGAGAGCUGCAGCGUGGGCUGCGUUGCACCCACGAUGCUCAUCUCGUGUCCUCAGGGGUUGGGGACAGAAGGAAGGGGAGCUGGGAGUGGGGGGGUUGAGCGUGGGGCCGUGUGGGAGCAGCACGGGAGCUGGGGCACAUGGAGAUGCCCAGGCACAUCCUUUCCUUCCCCUCCACGCUUUUCCAGAUGGGCUUUUGACCCCAUUCCCAUUUGUCCUUGCUGCCUUGCAGGGGGAACAUUUAGUGAGCUCAAAGCCCUGCGUGUGCCCAUGGAAAUGUGCUCACUGGUGGUCCCGCUGCGAUGGGCAGAGGGGUUGCUCCUCCUUCUCAGGGCCCUUCUGAUUUGA